AGAGUUUGAUCCUGGCUCAGGAUGAACGCUAGCUACAGGCUUAACACAUGCAAGUCGAGGGGCAGCAUGGUCUUAGCUUGCUAAGGCCGAUGGCGACCGGCGCACGGGUGAGUAACGCGUAUCCAACCUGCCUUACACUCUUGGACAGCCUUCUGAAAGGGAGAUUAAUACAAGAUGUUAUCAUGAGUAAGCAUUUUCGCAUGAUUAAAGGUUUACCGGUGUAAGAUGGGGAUGCGUUCCAUUAGAUAGUAGGCGGGGUAACGGCCCACCUAGUCUUCGAUGGAUAGGGGUUCUGAGAGGAAGGUCCCCCACAUUGGAACUGAGACACGGUCCAAACUCCUACGGGAGGCAGCAGUGAGGAAUAUUGGUCAAUGGACGAGAGUCUGAACCAGCCAAGUAGCGUGAAGGAUGACUGCCCUAUGGGUUGUAAACUUCUUUUAUACGGGAAUAAAGUUAGCCACGUGUGGCUUUUUGUAUGUACCGUAUGAAUAAGGAUCGGCUAACUCCGUGCCAGCAGCCGCGGUAAUACGGAGGAUCCGAGCGUUAUCCGGAUUUAUUGGGUUUAAAGGGAGCGUAGAUGGGUUGUUAAGUCAGUUGUGAAAGUUUGCGGCUCAACCGUAAAAUUGCAAUUGAUACUGGCAGUCUUGAGUACAGUUGAGGUAGGCGGAAUUCGUGGUGUAGCGGUGAAAUGCUUAGAUAUCACGAAGAACUCCGAUUGCGAAGGCAGCUUACUAACCUGUAACUGACAUUGAUGCUCGAAAGUGUGGGUAUCAAACAGGAUUAGAUACCCUGGUAGUCCACACGGUAAACGAUGAAUACUCGCUGUUUGCGAUAUACAGCAAGCGGCCAAGCGAAAGCGUUAAGUAUUCCACCUGGGGAGUACGCCGGCAACGGUGAAACUCAAAGGAAUUGACGGGGGCCCGCACAAGCGGAGGAACAUGUGGUUUAA
rnacentral:rRNA from 1 species